GUGGGGAAUAUUGGACAAUGGGCGAAAGCCUGAUCCAGCCAUGCCGCGUGUGUGAAGAAGGUCUUCGGAUUGUAAAGCACUUUAAGUUGGGAGGAAGGGCAGUAAGUUAAUACCUUGCUGUUUUGACGUUACCGACAGAAUAAGCUCCGGCUAACUUCGUGCCAGCAGCCGCGGUAAUACGAGGGGAGCUAGCGUUGUUCGGAAUUACUGGGCGUAAAGCGCGCGUAGGUGGUUCAGCAAGUUGAAGGUGAAAUCCCCGGGCUCAACCUGGGAACUGCCUCCAAAACUAUUGAGGUAGAGUACGGUAGAGGGUAGUGGAAUUUCCUGUGUAGCGGUGAAAUGCGUAGAUAUAGGAAGGAACACCAGUGGCGAAGGCGACUACCUGGACUGAUACUGACACUGAGGUGCGAAAGCGUGGGGAGCAAACAGGAUUAGAUACCCGUGUAGUCC
rnacentral:rRNA from 1 species